AGGCCUAACACAUGCAAGUCGAGCGGUAACAGGAAGUGCUUGCACUUCGCUGACGAGCGGCGGACGGGUGAGUAAUGCUUGGGGAUCUGCCUUUAGCGGGGAGUAACUACUGGAAACGGUAGCUAAUACCGCAUGAAGUCUACGGACCAAAGAUAGCCUCUGUAUAUGCUAUCGCCUAGAGAUGAACCCAAGUGGGAUUAGGUAGUUGGUGAGGUAAAGGCUCACCAAGCCGACGAUCCCUAGCUGGUCUGAGAGGAUGAUCAGCCACACUGGAACUGAGACACGGUCCAGACUCCUACGGGAGGCAGCAGUGGGGAAUAUUGCACAAUGGGCGCAAGCCUGAUGCAGCCAUGCCGCGUGUGUGAAGAAGGCUUUCGGGUUGUAAAGCACUUUCAGUGGGGAGGAAAGGGUGUACGUUAAUAGCGUGCAUCUGUGACGUUACUCACAGAAGAAGCACCGGCUAACUCCGUG
rnacentral:rRNA from 1 species